UACAUGUGGGACAAGCGUUGUUCGGAAUUACUGGGCAUAAAGGGUGCGUAGGCGGCUUGUUAAGUCAGGGGUGAAAGUUUUCGGCCCAACCGGAAAAUUGCCUUUGAUACUGGCGAGCUGGAGUGCGUGAGGGGUGACCGGAACGAGUGGUGUAGCGGUGAAAUGCGUAGAUAUCACUCGGAAGGCCAACGGCGAAGGCAGGUCACUGGUGCGCAACUGACGCUGAGGCACGAAAGCGUGGGGAGCAAACAGG
rnacentral:rRNA from 1 species